AUGGAGGUACCCAGAAGUCGUUUUGCCAAGGCCUUUAUCAGCUUUGGCUGUCCUGGACCUGACUUUGUUGAGCAGGCUGGCCUCGAAGAGAUCGUCGUAAGGAUGGAAAGAGACGAUGUAGCAAAAGAAAAUGAUUUAUUGGUAAGAACUCAGAGGACCUUUAGAGCUCAGGAUUGUGAUGUCUGGACUCCACCAAUGCCUGGGCUCGUAGGAUUUGGAGUGUUGGGAAGGCUCUAAACACCAGAAGGAACUCCAGAAUAGCCAGGCCUGAGAAAGGGGUAUGGAGCCUGUGGAAAAGCUGCAUUAUAAUCGAUAGCCUCAUGAAUAAGUGAACAGGCAAUGUAACACAUCUGGCCUCCAGCACAGAGCUUCCUCAGGAGAACGGAGCCUCGACCCACUUCUGCUGUCCAAUCUGACUUUCUUCAGAAGACUCCGAAGGAAGUGAACUCUCGGGGUCAUCUCAGGCAAUGCCCCUACCUCUGUGCUGCCCUCGAUAUGCCUUCAUCAAGCGCUCAGAAGCUGAGAAAUGUGCUUUCUCCACCACCUCAGCCUGGAGAGGUCACUCUCUCCUGUCAGCAUCCCACAGAAAGCUGGGACAGAUGUGCUUGCUAGCCUAGUGACCAUUUUGUGUGGCCAGAGACUUUUUCUGGCACUGAUUCUCCCCCCAGACCCUUAUCAUAAGGGUAUUCUCCUCAGCCCAUCUAUAGAAUUUAUCUUUAUGAACUAGACCAAGAGUUUCUUGGAGUCACGUCUGAUCUGUAUUUAGUUUACUUUGUUCUUCAAGGAGACACCCGGACGCUUUGUUGUGCAAGACGGAUUGAGUUCUUUAUCACCAACAUGGUUUUCACCAAAUUGUGCUGUGCUUAAGUAUGCCUAAAAUAAACUACUUGGCUUCAGACUCCA
rnacentral:lncRNA from 1 species